rnacentral:rRNA from 1 species
AGUUCGGUCCCUAUCCGUCGUGGGCGUAGGAAAUUUGAGAGGAGCUGUCCUUAGUACGAGAGGACCGGGAUGGACAUACCUCUGGUGUACCAGUUGUCGUGCCAACGGCAUAGCUGGGUAGCUAUGUAUGGACGGGAUAAGUGCUGAAAGCAUCUAAGCAUGAAGCCCCCCUCAAGAUGAGAUUUCCCAACUUCGGUUAUAAGAUCCCUCAAAGAUGAUGAGGUUAAUAGGUUCGAGGUGGAAGCAUGGUGACAU